UACGGAGGGGGCUAGCGUUGUUCGGAAUUACUGGGCGUAAAGCGCACGUAGGCGGCUUUGUAAGUUAGAGGUGAAAGCCCGGGGCUCAACCCCGGAACUGCCUUUAAGACUGCAUCGCUUGAAUCCAGGAGAGGUGAGUGGAAUUCCGAGUGUAGAGGUGAAAUUCGUAGAUAUUCGGAAUAACACCAGUGGCGAAGGCGGCUCACUGGCCUGGUAUUGACGCUGAGGUGCGAAAGCGUGGGGAGCAAACAGG
rnacentral:rRNA from 1 species